UCCUCUGUUGUUCUGUCGGUUGAUCGGCGGACUGUUAUUCCGUAUGUCACUGGUUCGUGUCCAGUCAGAGGAGCCA
rnacentral:tRNA from 1 species